CGGCGGACGGGUGAGUAAUGCCUAGGAAUCUGCCUGGUAGUGGGGGACAACGUUUCGAAAGGAACGCUAAUACCGCAUACGUCCUACGGGAGAAAGCAGGGGACCUUCGGGCCUUGCGCUAUCAGAUGAGCCUAGGUCGGAUUAGCUAGUUGGUGAGGUAAUUGCUCACCAAGGCGACGAUCCGUAACUGGUCUGAGAGGAUGAUCAGUCACACUGGAACUGAGACACGGUCCAGACUCCUACGGGAGGCAGCAGUU
rnacentral:rRNA from 1 species